AACAGUCAGUAACAGGAAGAACAGUCAGUAACAGGGAGGGACAGGAAGAACAGUCAGUAACAGGGAGGGACAGGAACAACAGUCAGUAACAGGAAGAACAGUCAGUAACAGUCAGUAACAAGAAUAACAGUCAGUAACAGGGAGGGACAGGAACAACAGUCAGUAAAAGGGAGGGACAGGAAGAACAGUCAGUAACCGGAAGAACAGUCAGUAACAGGAAGAGCAGUCAGUAACAGGGAGGGACAGGAACAACAGUCAGUAACAGGAAGAGCAGUCAGUAACAGGGAGGGACAGGAACAACAGUCAGUAACAGGGAGGGACAGGAACAACAGUCAGUAACAGGAAGAACAGUCAGUAACAGGGAGGGACAAGAAUAACAGUCAGUAACAGGGAGGGACAGGAACAACAGUCAGUAACAGGAAGAACAGUCAGUAACAGUCAGUAACAAGAAUAACAGUCAGUAACAGGGAUGGACAGGAAGAACAGUCAGUAACAGGAAGAACAGUCAGUAACAGGGAGGGACAGGAACAACAGUCAGUAACAGGGAGGGACAGGAACAACAGUCAGUAACAGGAAGAACAGUCAGUAACAGGGAGGGACAGGAAGAACAGUCAGUAACAGGAAGAACAGUCAGUAACCGGGAGGGACAGGAAGAACAGUCAGUAACAGGGAGGGACAGGAAGAACAGUCAGUAACAGGAAGAACAGUCAGUAACAGGGAGGGUUCCCAGUUGAACUUCACAGCUCCCAACACAGGAAGUACGAGAGGAAGCAAUAGGAAGGAGAAGAUGGAGGAAGUGUGGCUCAUUUGUUCUGGCUUAUACUGAAGAGGCAUGACUCUCCCUCGUAAAAAGUGGUUUGUUAUUCAACGAAGAGCUUCAUUAAGUAUAAAAUGUAUUAAUAGCUACAGAACAAUAGUUUCUAAUCUCAAGGACAGACUUUUACACACAACUCAACAAGCCAGGUCCAGGAAAAUACCAAGUCUACUCCAACUGCCUGUGUUACAACACCCUGAUAUAACAGUGUAGUUCUGGUUAG
ensembl:lncRNA